UUUUUCGUGCCAACCUCUAUUUUAUAAAUACACGUCCGUUCCCACAUAUUUUCACAUCCAGAAACGUGGUAUUAUUUUCACUUCUCACUCUCUCUCUAAAAAUUCGUUUUGUUUACUUUCCGUCACUAAAAGUUUGGUCGACGUGUUAUUCGAGAAAGUCAUUUUGCGAGUGAGAAAGUUAUAUUUUCGGAAGGGUGGUUU
rnacentral:lncRNA from 1 species